GAUUGAUGGCUCAGUGAGGCCUUGGGACUGGCUCAGAGAGGUCGGCAACGACCACUCAGAGCCGGAAACUUGGUCAAACUUGGUCAUUUAGAGGAAGUAAAAGUCGUAACAAGGUUUCCGUGCUGAGAUCCGUAGGGGUCGAAGCCGGGACACUGAGAAGUGAUCCUUCCACAGGUGACGCUUCGGAAGCCUUAGCAGCCCGAAAGGGUGGCCCUCUACGACUUGAUAAAUAAGAAGAGGUGCCUGAAAUGCUAGUCAGCAUCGCAGCUGGCAACACCGUCAAAUUGCGGGAACCCCCUAAAGACUUCGCUACCAAGCAGCUCUGGGAUAACCAAGCUGUGGCCAGGGUAAUGACCUCGGGUAUGGUAACAACGCGCAAGUAUGAACCUCCAGUACUUGGGGGGGAAAUGGGUAAUCUGCAGCCAAGUCCUGACCACCCUCGUAAGGGGGUGUUGGAUGCUGUUCACAGGCCAAAUGGUGGUGGGUCGAUCUGAUAGAGAUCGGCUUAAGAUAUGGUCGGGCCCCUUGGGAAACCUUGGGGGUAGUCACCACGCAGUCAACUGGAGAUUGAGAGCGAUAAAGUGCAAAGCUCUCUAUCAUGGGCGACUGCGAUUGCUAGGAGUGUAUGUGGUUGCCUCGCUGGAGGUCGCCCGUCACACCUGUGUCCCUAGCAUAACACUUUAACUGUUCCGUAGGUGAACCUGCGGAAGGAUCAUUAACGAGUUAGGGUCUCUCAGGCCCGACCUCCCAACCCUUUGUUUACUAGACCCUCUGUUGCUUCGGCGGACCCGUCUCAAGCGGACCGCCGGAGGACCGCCCACCGCGGCGCGCGUCCUCUGGCCAGUGUCCGCCGAUAGCCCCUUCAAACUCUGGAACAACCAUGAUUUUACUGCCUAAGUGAUUUUUUAUUCAAUUAAAAGCAAAAACUUUCAACAACGGAUCUCUUGGUUCUGGCAUCGAUGAAGAACGCAGCGAAAUGCGAUAAGUAAUGCGAAUUGCAGAAUUCCAGUGAGUCAUCGAAUCUUUGAACGCACAUUGCGCCCUUUGGUAUUCCGAAGGGCAUGCCUGUUCGAGCGUCAUUAUCACCCCCUCAAGCCC
rnacentral:misc_RNA from 1 species